ACAGACGGCAGCAGUGCUGGAGUAACGCAUGAGAGUCAGCAGAUGGCGUAGUACCCUCCUUUCGGAGGCGAAGGCC
rfam:Desulfovibrio sp. An276 An276_contig_49, whole genome shotgun sequence.